rnacentral:misc_RNA from 1 species
UCUGGCUUAUAGCCAAGCGGUCCCCUUAGAGUGCCCAACUUAAUGAUGGUAACUAAGGGCGAGGGUUGCGCUCGUUGCGGGACUUAACCCAACAUCUCACAACACGAGCUGACGACAGCCAUGCAGCACCUGUCUCCGCGUCCCCGAAGGGAACGCCCUAUUUCUAGGGUUAGCGCGGGAUGUCAAGCCCAGGUAAGGUUUUUCGCGUAGCAUCGAAUUAAACCACAUGCUCCACCGCUUGUGCGGGCCCCCGUCAAUUCCUUUGAGUUUUAAUCUUGCGACCGUACUUCCCAGGCGGGAUACUUAAUGCGUUAGCGACGUUACCAGAAAGAUUAGGCUCUCUGACAACUAGUAUCCAUCGUUUAGGGCGUGGACUAC